rnacentral:lncRNA from 1 species
GAAGUGCCUGAUGGACGUGGCUCUCGUCACGAAAUGAGUUUGGAUCCGAGAAGCCCUCUUCUUCAUCAGAAAUGGGACAAAGAUGAGCUGCGUGCCCAUAAUUCCACGUUUACGCUGACUCCUCCAGAGCCUCAUCAAUGAAGUAAGCAGGCAGCUGCAUUCUGGAGGGCUAGCAUGUACCGAAGGCACACAACCUCCAGAGGUGACAGAGUCAAGUCCUGGCGUGCCUGAGGCUAUCCAGGGGAACACGCGGGACAGACAGCACCCUCAGACUGUCCCCAUGACCCUCUGCUCCACUCUGAGGGGCAGGACACCAUGAGACCUCUCAGACACAGAGUCCACCCUCGACAUGACCCGGGGGAAAGGCAGGAGUGUGCUCCCUGAAGGGGACCCAUCUCUGCAAGCCCACAGCCCUACCUGCGGCAUCCACAGCCUCAGAGAGCAGCGGGUCCCCUUACCCCCGAACUCCCUCCAAGUGCAUCAGGACAACAAGCCUUGAGCCCUGGAGACAAGAGAAUCAGUAUCCCUGGCCCAGGGAGGAUUCCAGGAGAGGACACAGGCAGGAGCCCUGGCCCAGAGCCAGAACCAAGAGUCCAGCCAGAGGCGGCUAGAGCAUCG